UUGGGGUUGGGAGGGACCUGCAAGUCUUUCCUGAGGGCAGAGCCGGACCCUAAACCACGGGAAAGAUGGUAGGUAGAGUGUGGCGGAAGGGCAGGGCUGGAGCAGGCCAGGGCUCCUGGGAAUGGGGUUCCGAGUGGCCUUGCCAGCCAGGUGCAGGCUUGGGUGAGAGCAGGAGGGCAUAGGUGGGGGAGUGGUGUGCGUAUGAGGGGGGGCAGGGUGUCCCCAGGCCAGGCUCCCAGUGAGUCACUGCUGACCCGUCGUCCCGGCGCCGCGGGGGCCCAGGCUGGGCUGGCCGCAGGAAGCUGAUAAAGGGCCAGAGUCAAAAGCCUCCAGGCCUCCCACUUCCUGCAGCCCCAGGAGCAGGGUGUGGCGCUUGGGGGGUUGGGGGGCGGGUCCUGGCGGGCAUCUGUCGAUGCAGGCUCAGGUGUCCAUGGCCUGGCUGGAGGGCCCACAAAACAACACAAAUUGUGACCUAUGACUGCCUGGCUCUGCCUUCAGAGGAUGUGAUCGGGGACGUCGUGGUGGGCACAGGCAGCCUCCGGCAGCCAUGGGCAGGAAGGCCAGCGGCAGCUUGAAGGUGUCGGAUCAAGGGGCAGAGGGGAAGUGGUGGCCAGGGCAAGGACACGGCCAGGGCCAGGACGGGGGCAGGCAGGCCAAGCGGGCGCACGUUUACCUGCGGGCCACUCUGUCACCUGAAGGUCAGGUGUGUGUCCACCUGUCCAGCCACAGAGGGGUCAUGGAGAUGGGGUGCUCCCGGGAGGCAGGAGGGGCAGGAGGUCAGCUGGCAGGGGCGCUGAGGCACCCAAGUUGCGUGGGCGACCCCAUGGAGCCACUCCUAGUGACAGCAGCGCCUCUGCCACGCCUGUGGUGACGACCCGCCAGCCCACAGGUAAGGAUGUCACCAUGAGCAAGAGCGACCUCGCCCCACGCCACCUACGCUGGUCCUGCUUCCUCAGGGCCACAUCCCAGCACCACCAUCACCACGGUCACCCCACCGACCCAACCUCUGGGGCCUUGGCAGCGUCACCACGCUCGCGCUCUCCCUGCCAAGGAUGGGAGCCAACGGCCCCCUCCGCCAAAGCCACAGCCACCGUCGCGGCCAGGCGUCCCACCCAAACAAGGCCACGGAAGCACAGCGAAGCGCCGACGCGCCCCAGCGCCAGGACUUCUGACGCCUUUUGGGUAAAACAUACCAAGCAUAAAAUGGACUGUUAUAACCAUUCUAAAAUACAAGCAUCACAAAGGACAAAGAGGAAUAUCAAUAAGUGUGACAUGACUCUCAGAUCAGAGAACAGAACACAUAUGCAACUAAAAACAUAGCUUCAGAAAACAAAAAGCCACAGAUGACAAGCGACCUGCUCCAACUCCUCUCUGCACACAGACAGCUCGAGCAGCCACAAGCAAAGAUGUGAACAAUUUGGAUAAUGCAAUAAACUGAGGCACACUCUUUUCUAGUACAAAUGGGACACUCUCCACAGCAACACGUUUUGGGUCCCAAAAGAGGCCUCAGGACACCUUCGGAAGUAGAAGCAGCCACACGGGAGGCAGGCAGACAAGGAGGCGACGACCUGCCUGCCCACUGCCCCUAGUGCUGCAGAAAGUGGUUCCAACCUAGAAUUCCAGACCCAGCCAAGCCAUCAUCGGAGUAUGAGAUGGAAUAAAAAACAUUCUGAGACAUGCGAGGUGUCACGCUAUCUGCCACGUGUUCUCUCAAAGACCUGCUCCAGGAAGACAAGCGUGCAAACCAAGAAAGAGAGAAGCCCAGCAUGCAGACCCCAGUGUCUCACACAGGAGCCCCAGGAAGGGAGCCCCAGGGCUGUGGGGGGAGAGGUCUGCGGGACAGCUGUGCCUUGUGAGGGUCGGCCAUCCGGACUGGGCAGCUGAGGACACGGCUUCCCCCAGGAGCAGCGGCUCUGACACGUGCCUGACCUACGCCAGAGAGUGCGCAGAGGACCCUGGUGGGUCAGAAGCAGACACGCGGGGCAGCCCAUCCUCCUAGCUCUGCCUUUUGCCCUGCCCGGGCCGUGGGCGCCUGGGCGUCCAGAGAUCAUCUGCGUCCCUGCCCGCCGACUGGGAGGCCAAGGCUCUGCGGUGUCUCUCCUCCUGGGGGGCCUUCAGCUGAGCCACUUGUCAAAACAGGGAGAACGUAGGCCGGGGACAUACACCAAGUGCUAAAAGCCAGGGGACAGGACACGAUGUCUGGAGGAAGUUGCUUUGCUGGGACAGUCCCCCCAGCGGCUUCCAGGGAACCAAAAAUGUGCUAUUUCGUA